UCGCCUGUUUAUCAAAAACAUAGCCUUUAGCCUAACAAGUAUUAAAGGUUUCGCCUGCCCAGUGAUUUAUUCAACGGCCGCGGUAUCCUAACCGUGCAAAGGUAGCAUAAUCACUUGUCUCCUAAAUAGGGACUAGUAUGAACGGCUAAAUGAAGACUAAACUGUCUCUUAUAGUUAACCAAUGAAACUGAUCUUUCAGUCCAAAAGCUGAAAUAUACCCAUAAGACGAGAAGACCCUGUGGAGCUUUAAACCAAAAAUCACAAUAAUGACACCAUGGUUUUUAGUUGGGGCGACUUCGGAGCAUAAAAAACCCUCCGACUUACAUUUACUAAAAUAAACACAUUAAAGUAAUUAUAAUAGACCCAGUAGUUAAACCAGCUAUCUGAUCAACGAACCAAGUUACCCCAGGGAUAACAGCGCCAUCCUCUUCUAGAGUCCAUAUCAACAAGAGGGUUUACGACCUCGAUGUUGGAUCAGGGCACCCCAAUAGUGCAGCCGCUAUUAAAGGUUCGUUUGUUCAACGAUUAAAGCCCUACGUGAUCUGAGUUCAGACC
rnacentral:rRNA from 1 species